UACGGAGGAUGCGAGCGUUAUCCGGAUUUAUUGGGUUUAAAGGGUGCGUAGGCGGGUUAUCAAGUCAGCGGUAAAAUCGUGGAGCUCAACUCCAUCCAGCCGUUGUAACUGAUGAUCUUGAGUGGGCGAGAAGUAUGCGGAAUGCGUGGUGUAGCGGUGAAAUGCAUAGAUAUCACGCAGAACUCCGAUUGCGAAGGCAGCAUACCGGCGCCCGACUGACGCUGAAGCACGAAAGCGUGGGUAUCGAACAGG
rnacentral:rRNA from 1 species